UUCAGUUCCCUCCAACAUUUUACACUCACCAAAUCUUCUCCCAAAUCAAAACCCUACAACUUCCUCCCAAAUAAAAUCAUAAACACCAGUUCGUGUUACAAAGUUCUGCAUCCAGAACCUCUUUUUCCUCCCUCUCUACUGUCGCGCCUCCACAAUGAGAGGAGUUUUUUCUUCCAGUUUUCACUCUUCACCUCCACUCUCUUUCUCUUUCCGGUGAUGAAUCCGAGAACGAUUGUUUCAGGUCUACACGCAGCCGCACUAAAUUCAAACGCUCUGCGAUGGAGGAAGCCCAUGAAAUCCCACGCGCCAAGGACGCGAAGGAGAGAUGAGGAGGAAGCCCUUGGUGUGGAGCGCCUCCCCGAGGUUCUCGAAGCUUCUAGGAGGAGCCUCAAUUCUGCCUAAGUCACUUUUCUCGUCAAAUGAUGCCUCAAUCUCUUGAAGGAUAACAGCUUCAAGGUCUCGCAGGGCACGCUUCAGGCGCUCGACUCCGCCGCCGUUCGAGCUGGCGACCACUUCAAGCUCCAAUUGAAUGUGUUCGCUUCCAUUGUCGUCGAAAGGCUAGGCAACGCUAAACAGCCCAUCAGUGACGCCACUAGGCGCCUCUUGCUUACUCUCAUAGAGGAAAUGAAGCCGCUUGCAAAUGAGCAAAUAAAGGUUCUCCUGAAGGUUCAGUGCUAGAAGGAGAAGGAUAAACAUAAUGGGAAGAGAGACAACAUGGAGGGAUCACAUAAGAAACUUAUAUUUGAUGAAGCUAACUAAUGAGUCAUUGCCUUGUCCCACGUCACCUUACAACUAUAGCUAUGGAGUGGUGCUGUUGGAAUUGCUCAUGGGAAGACGAGUUUCAAAUAAGUUGAAUAUGAAGCAAGAUGAUGUUUUCUAGUGGCUUUGUUCCAUGGGUUUUUACUUGGUCUAGUUGUUUUCUAUCGUGUUAGACUUUUAGUCAAUUUUGAAUAUUCCUUAAACAUUAUGUAUCUUUUACAUUGUAAUUGUCAAUUGAUGUACUUUAUCUUAAAUUAUCAAUAAAAUUAUUUUUUAUUAA